rnacentral:rRNA from 1 species
AUUGAACGCUGGCGGCAGGCCUAACACAUGCAAGUCGAACGCGUGGCGGACGGGUGAGUAAUGUCUGGGAAACUGCCUGCUGGAGGGGGAUAACUACUGGAAACGGUAGCUAAUACCGCAUACCAUCGGAUGUGCCCAUAUGGGAUUAGCUAGUAGGUGGGGCAAAGGCUCACCUAGGCGACGAUCCCUAGCUGGUCUGAGAGGAUGACAAGCCACAAUGAAACUGAGACACGGUCCAGACUCCAACGGGAGGCAGCAGUGGGGAAUAUUGCACAAUGGGCGCGAGCCGGAUGCAGCCAUGACGCGUGUAUGAAGAAGGCCUUCGGGUUGUAAAGUACUUUCAGCGGGGAGGCGUUACCCACAGAAGAAGCACCGGCUAACUCCGUGCCAGCCGCCGCGGUAAUUC